rnacentral:lncRNA from 1 species
CGAUUGGAACAAACUGACACUACAGCCAUCUGUUGCAAAACCCUCAAAACUAAAUCACACUCCUAAUAUUUGCGAGCCACCCCUUACCGCAAAGUAAAAAUCAUGAUCGACGGGAAGAGCAACAAACGGGCUGUUGUACCUUUUUUCACGGUGAAAGAGGGAAAGUCUCACGGCUGUUUGUCGGAAUAAUGUACAUGAAAAUUGUGCCCGCGCAAUUUCCAUGAUAUUUUCGAUCGUAAAUCCUAAUAGCUGAAACGCCGUUGCAGCGCCGGUGCACGCGGUACUUUAUGUAUGAGAAACGCUUUAGCUACCGAGAUAUCGUUGAAGGAUACUUUUGCGAGAUCACGGUAGAAUAUCGCGACGUGCGGGGAAUCAUUAGCGCAACUUCCGUUAUCCACGCCCGCAAAUUACCAUAAAACGGAUACGCUUGUGUACGCGCAUGUACCGCUUACUCGCCGUAGUCGAGCACCGUGGCUUAAUAUCGGCGACAAGGGAGAAAAAGCUCAAGCUUCAGUAAGCUCGUUAGACUGCUUACGCGGGAGAGCAAUGAAUCUUUCGCGAACGACUGGCGAGUUGUUAUUGCGGCCUCUCUUACGGCCACUUCACCGAAUGAAAGGAGUGCACGCCAUCAUAUUUCUUUCGCGCUAUUCCUGUCGCGGACAGGGCAAAAACUCGGGUGUCGGUCCACCGAGCGAGUUAAUGUAUCUUUAAUAUCGCGAGGCGCGGGAUCGGGAGAAUAAAAGCGGCGGUAGAGGGGAUGGGAGAGGAGAUUAUUUAUCGGACGCAGCGCGCUCCGCUACGCCAAAGAGUGCAGCGACUUUUGUUGCUCUCAGCGUGGAAACCUCCGGUUUUCUGCCCAUCGUGAGUGCUAGCGUAGUCAUGCGGACGAAAUUAAAUGUUAUACGAUUCGCUUGUCCGUUAAUUAACUCGAGGUGAACUCUAUUUUAGCGGACUGCGCCUCGCCUCGCUGCUCGGUUAUCGGGAUAUUUAAUACCGCGGGUUAAAAAGUCACGCGGAAGUCAGGGAGACUUACCUUUGAGCUCGGCAAAUAACUGGCGAGAAAUUGCACGUGUGUGACAAAUCGCUGACGAAACGAGGAGACUUUUGCUGAACGUCGCUGAUGAAGAUGCGUCAUGUAGCUUUCUUUGAUCUCCCCCCCGCAGCUUCUCGAAGUCAUCUUGACCCAGAACGCGCGUGCAAACACUUUCUUGGAUUUAAAGACUUCCAUCGGAAUUCGGAAAUCCCGAAAUUCGGACGUUCCACUGAUUUCCUUGCACACUGCAUCUUGACAUCAUUUCCAUCGCCAGCUUUUCAGUGUUUCAGCUCACGGAUCGACCGAUCUUGCCUGAUUAUCUUGCCUGAACGUGCGACGGAUAAUUCCAUUGUUUCAGAACAGAAUGUGCGCUCGGUGAAUCCGAUAGUUCCACUCUUGCGGAAUACAGUCACACGAAAGGCAACAGCACGAAAAUUUCCAAAUGACAAGCCAUCUGUCACAUGCAUGGAAAUGACGAUAGUCUAUUCCGGAACACGCUUCUGCCGGAUCCGUUACUUGAGCAGAUUGCAUCAUCGGUUUUGCUGUGCGGAAAGUGCAUCUCGGGAUUUCCAGGAGAUCGUUUAAAGACAGGUUCUUGAGAUGGAGCGGUGUUUUCCUUAAUGAAACCGCCUGGAGAGUGACAGAUCCAUUAAUCGGAAUUUCUGAAUUUUCAACGGUAAAUUACUCCGCACGGAUAAUCCUCCAACGGAAUUUGCCUCGCGCGCACUUCGUCCAAUUCAACGUUCGUGAUUCAUUAGUAACGGUGAAUCGAAGUUCAUCGAAAGACAAGAUUUUGUUACCCAUUUGCGGAUUUAUCUCUCCGGCUUCGUUCGCCGCUUGAUUUCGGAACGUCGGUCUCUUCUCUCGUUAAACCGAAAAGUCGAUUCUCCGCGCUCGGCGCCCUCCGGAUCCGGAAAUCGAGGAACGUUUCGACGGUCUCGGAAGGACUCGGCAGUUUUAUUUCGCUCUGACGUUCGCCAUCCAUCGAUUUCAGCAUGUUAGAAAUGGUCAUAGCUCCAAGAUCAAAGAAAAUUUGAAUUUUCUAUGGCACGCGCGAAUUUCCUAUCGCGCAGCGUCGAGAAUCAUAUAAAAUAUCGAUGAUAAAUAAAACACCAAGGUCGUCAAACGUACAAACACUACGAUACCUGGGCAGCCAUACGUCCUCCACCUCCGUUCACCUCUAUAUGGAACAUUUAAUUUCCACGAGUCACGUGAUCACGCGAGCCCUUUGACGCAACCUCGCCUGAAAGGUAGCGAAAUUCGUAUAAGCCCUGUGGCUCCGGUCAUUUCGCCCUGCCCCCACCCCCAAGCAAACCGCGGGAGAACCGCACAUGAGGAAAAAACAUGAAGAUCUUAGUGAACGAUAAGAAAAGCUCGAAGUCGUUCGUUAACCGAAGCGUUCGUUGAUAAAAGCUGUAAAGAAUUCUGCAUAUCGACUGCCAGCUAAAAUUCCUGAAGUUUCUUUGACGUUAUAUGCACGCAAUAUUACUCACUAUGUAUUGAUUAUGUUGCAGUUUAUAAUUAUUCGUACUUACGUCAAAAGAGUCGGCUUUGUUUUGAUUUUCAAGAUAGAUGGAAGGAUUUAAAAAAUUGAGGACCAAAUCAUUUUCUCAAAUUCCGCUGGUAUUUUCUUCUCCGUAAUUCCUCUUUAUUUUCCUCUUUCCUGCUCCAGGCACUAGGAUUAUGAGAAGUGGAGGAUGUUAAUUAAAUAAAUAGUUAAAAAUUAAGAAUAAUAUAAAUUGAGACGUACAUUGUACACAACUGUAAAUUUGCAGACUGGACUUCCAUGGUCGAUAAAGUUCGCCGAUAAAUUUUGUAUGCUUUAUGACGACUGUGUGUAUUUAUUUAUGCUUUUGAACGUUAGUUACGGCUGGGCCUGCGCAGCUGGUUAUUUGUUAUUCCACUGUAACAAUUGCGUCCGCGUAGUGAAAAUCAAUAAAAUUUUAUGGCGUGCUAAAGAGAAACGAUACGAAUCUCUUUAAUCUGGUCGAAGAACGAUAAGGUUGAGCACGCAUCGGGCAAUUUCUUUCAUGAGCGAUAAACUAUCGUUCAUCAUAUUUCCGUUAAUGCGGUCGGAUCCGCCCGCCUCGGUCGCAUUUGUCUUUGUCACAGACAUUCCUUUUCUUGGGACUUAGGCCGUCAUGUAUCUUCAAACACAAUAAUCCACGAAAUUAAUACGCUGCGAUUAAAGUAGGCCGUAUUUACGGUUAAAUUAACAUUAAUUCGUCGCAGUAUCAAUCCCGCUUCGCAAUUGCGGUUAACGCUGCUGGUGACGUCUGACAUUUGGACUUGGAGGAUACCUCCACGUGCAAACGAACGUCAAAAGUCGCCGUCCCAUCAAAUGAAUCGCUAUCAUUCUUUCUACUCUAUGUGAUCAUAUCAUUUCGAUCAAAACUGAUAAUGUCAAAACGUAGCAGCAUGUCGAAAUUUAAACUGAAUUACUUCCCCUUAAUUUCCACUUAAAAACACGUUCGGCGACGUUAUAAAAUGCCAUUAAUUUUUAUGUGAAAAUUGCAUGUAGUAGCAUUAAUAUUACUUGACUUUAUUCCUUUCUCUUUCUUUUUUUAAAUUAAAUUACUUCAUUUCACUCCGUUUUAUGCAAAUUGUCGUACAACAGGACGAGUCGCACGACAGCGGAUUCUGUUACGAAAUUCGAGCAAAUUCCUCUUUGAGAGACUUUAACUGCGACGAAAUUUUCAACGUAAACCGGUAAACCUGCAUUAAAUUUCGGUAGAAUUAUGUCACGGUUACAUGAGCCUUCCUUUAACAAAACGAGACUUUUUCGCGGGGGAUAUUUAAUGUUAUACUCAAAAAGAUUCCGGGAUCUCCGUUAAUGAGACCAUUAAGGGCAACACGCCGGCGGCUCCGGAUUCGCGAUAAAAAAGAAUGGGCACCCUAUUUACGCCCCCGCGUAGGGCGAAUGACGACAACGGUGGCGGUUCACGUUUCAUAAUUUACAUUCGCAGCGCGUUCCGUUUUCCACAAAUCGAUAAAUGCACUCCCGAAGACAUUUCAGGCGCUUAGCGCAACGAGAGGGCGACCGCUCGUAAAAGAAGUUCGACAUUUUCACGGGCUGCAGCCCGCAGUCGCGCGUCACUGAUGAUGCGCUCAGAAUUAGCAGCGACAGCAGCAGUAGCAGCAGCAGCAGAAAUUUAUCACUAGCACGGCAUCUGCACGCGAUACGAACCAUCGAUAUAACUUAUCCGUGUGCCGCGGCAAAGUGUGUCAUAGGAAUAUGCAGUUAACGUGAUAAAGCGCAAAGGGUGGUUGUUAUUUCGCGGCGUUUCCCAGAGACGCGCGUCCACGUCGCACGAACGGCCACCCUCGAUGGGCACUGCGGCGAGGUUCGCUGAAAAUUAACGUCCGUGCUCCGUUUUUCCCUCGUGUUCGUACUUUGCGAGGGCCGAAGGGAGGCAGAAUGCGAGACGGCGGAACUCGCGCACGGGCAAACUUCUGUUCUCUCGCUUCUGUUCUUUUGUUCGUUCCUUUUCUUCGUUCUCAAUCUACCUGUUUUUCCCCUUUCGGAACGUAUAAUUCACCGCGCCGACGCGAUAACAGGAGAUGCUGUAAGGAACAGUCUCGCGUAAAAUGCCGUUUGAAAUACUGCCGUGGAUUCUGGAAAAUCGAACCGUUCGACCGCCCGCGCGAUUUAUCAUUUGCCUCGUAAUUCUCAUUAUCGAAAUGCGCGAGAAAGAUUAACGGGUACAACUAAUUCGCAAAGCGAACGUGGUAGCGUGACUUUGACAAUCGGAUUCGGAGUUUGGAAAUAAGAAAACAUUUCUGAAGGAUAAUGGAUGCUUAUAACAAUGUCAUAAUGCGUUCAUAACGGAGGUCCCACCAUUUGCAAAAUUAUAUCACUGCAGAGGUCACGAAACUAUUGGGAAUUGUCAGAUCAAUCGUCAAAUCACAUCUGUGACUUGCACACUAAUCAAAUUAUUUGAAACAUCAAGGACCGUGAUUAAUAGCAUCAACAAACAUCGAUGAAACGUCGAUCAUUUUUUGAGUGAUAUUAAUCAUCCGAGACAAUCGUAGCUGCCAGAUUGCGUGGAUUUAGUAAUUACGAAUGAACGAGUUGUGAUUUAUUGCGAUAAAUAUUAUCCGCGCGAAGAUCCGCACCAAUUCACGAAGUCAAAAAGAGAAUUGAAUUGAAUGCUUGCUUAUAAACUCUAUCUCCCUUUUCCUCUGUUUGCAAAAAACAGAGAGUAUAUUUUCAAUUGCAGUUGCUGCGUCCAAAUAACGUAUGGCGCACGAGCCCGUUUCGGAUAUCGGUUUGCACGAUCGUUGGGAGAAGGCACGUUAAAUCCUGCGUUGCGGUAUCGAAACAAAAUCAGAGGCAACGUAAAUAUUGAACGGACACUGGUCGAGCAUAGCUGCGUAAGAAAUUUAUCACAUAACGUACAAUAGCCGUUACGAGGGAAAACGCAGAAGAAAGGGAAGAAAGGGGGAAACAGUGCGGAAACCGGCGUUGCUGGAUGUACACGGUGGCGGGAACUCGGUGCGAGUGAAGUGCAAUGUGUACCGCGUAAGCUCGGCAAAAAUAGUCCCACUAUCUUUUCACGCCAUAUUGUAAAUAUUUUAAGAUUAUGAAUAUAUAAGGAACGUGUACGAGUACGAAUCCGCCCUCAAGAUCCAGGCUUUCUUCACCUCUGGCCUUUCUCGGUCCUCCUCUUGGCAAGGUUUCCUCUCCUCGUUGCACACCCAAGUGUGACUUCUUUUCGCGGUUUUUUUUUUCUAAACAAAAAGAGGUCGUAAAUUAAACGAGAGAGAAAGGAAGCAUGUACCAAUUGCGCUCAGCAUUCGAAUUUUCGAAAAGGCACAAUAGACCACUUGUGCCCAGCUAAUGUAUUUCGUGCUGUUGCAGUCUGGAAUGUUUCGAUAUUCAUUUACAAUUGCCAAUGAUUUCAGAAUUAAUGAUAAUUGGUAUCUCUUCAAGAUAGAUUUCGCGAGUGCACGUCCACGAGUCUUAUAAUUCGCGAAAAAAGGAUUACAUGUGCAACGGACGCAAAAUGAAAACAUAUUUAACAGUAAUUACACGAAAAACAACACGGGAGGUACAUGACACUCUAUUUCUGCGUAUUUGCAUUUUCUAUUACGUCCGCAUUAAAUCCACACCGCACUGCGGGCUGCUUUUUCACGCAGCAGUAGUAACAGCCCUCAUUAUUCAGCCAUUAGACUGUCGACAUGCCGGAAGCGGAUCGCGAAGUACGAAGGAACCGUCGAAAAACCGGCCUACAAAAAUCAAUAUAUAAUUGUAGCCUGAUCAUCGCAAUUUUCCGAUUGUCCUGUUUUCUGUCGAUGCGAUUCUCGCGGAUCCCAAAAAAUCUAAAAUUAUGAAAAUGCGGCGAGAUUGCUCGCUCUCUUUCUCCCUAUCUCUAUUUUUCUCUCUCAAUAUGCGGUCUCGAUAUCCCAUUUUAUGGAAUGCGGUCGUUUGUAUGGCAAUCGUGUGCGCAAUUCUCGAGCUUCCGUCGCGAAACGCCCGCGUUGCUACACGCGACACGACCCGAUCCGUAAUCAGAUCGUAAACGGCAGGAACGCUGCAUUAACGGCCGGUCUGCUGCCUCCGGGGCGUUUUUUCCCGCCCCCGAAUAGCCCCGAAAUUCGAUUGCACCGCAAUUACCCUAUAUUUGCACGCGGCGCGCGCUCUCUGCGUAUCAAAAUGAUAUUGGAAAAAGGAAGAAAAAAAGCCGCUCGCAAAUCUCGCCUGCACGACGCGCCGCGCCGUCAGAGGCGACGCAACAAUUUUACGCGCGCGCGGGAUGCAUUUUGCGUCCGUAAUUCCAUUUGCAUGUUAUAUCUCUUUCGUCAGCGAUACUCCUGUGCAGCGAUCUACGACGGACGUUUUAACAUGCUAUGUACGCUUGAUCGAGACAGUGCCGGUCAGAUAUUAAUAUGCAUAACAACGUGGCGCGAUUGAACACGCGGCGGCACGCCGGUGCAUUAUCUCGUGGCAUCGUUAGCGGCUACAUUGUCGGGAACCAGGCCAUCGCAAACGUAACAGGCAACGUCACGGUAACGAUCGUAAUCGAUUACCGAGGGGAAACUGUUCUUUCUGCGUGGGCAAUAGACGAAAAUGACGGCCACUUCGCCUCGUCUCUGUUCCGAGUCCUCUUUAGAUCCGUUGCAGCCCCGCUGCGAACCGGCGCGCUCGUCGGUAAGGGGAUGUAACUGGCGCAUUAUGAAAAAUCGAGUCCUUGAAUCCGUCCGUAGGUCUUCCCCCGUGGUCCAGCCACGAUGAAAUCGCUUUCAAUCAACGAGGAUAACCGCGCGAAUGAUAUCCGUUAUUAUUAAUAAAAUUCUUUAUUAACCGUUAUUGUUAAUAAAGAAUUUUAUUACUAAUAAUGGUUAUAUUUUGUGUUAUAAGCUAAGGUGGGGCGAAUUAUAACAUUGACGCGGUUAAUGUACUUUUAUGACUUAUAAUAUGUCAUCGAAGCGCGCAUAAAAUGCAUUUUAACUUGCCCAUUUACCUUGGAAGACGUCAGUUAUAUCUCAUAAUACGUCUUGGCGAUGCAGGCAGUUUCGCAGCGAUAACAAGGCGCGAUUGAGAUCAGAUCCGUUUCAUUCAGGCGCCGCGAGCUCGCCGCGCGAUCUUGGACUCCAAGCUGGACCCUGACAGAAUCCUGAAAAAAUCGCAUUUAUCACGAAUUCGAGCGUUCCACCAUUGAAUUGACGUUUGCACUGAUGCAUCGUUUUCCGUUUGCAACAAGCGAAUCGACUAGAAUGAAAUAGAAUUAGGUUUUGUCGUUUUUCUCGGCAUCGCCAAAUCCAGUUUGACAGAAGAGCGACUUUGAUUGCAGCUUAUUUGUGCUGAUGAAUGGAGCGGCUACGCGGCUCACCGGUCUGAUUAAAUUACGUAAAGCGCGGAAGCGCACUUUAUGACGCUAGUUAUAAUAGAUAAUAUAACGCGAUAGCCGGCAAAUAGAGCGCGUAAUUCAGGCCAACCGAUUCAAUCGAAAUAGUUAUUAUUACGGUGUUAUAGUAAUCCUACUCGCACGGAAACAGACUCUUAGGUAAAUCAACACAUAAUGCAUUAGCGUACGCGAAUGAGGCGGCCUCGAUUCGAAAAAGAAAUUAGCCAUUAGAAUGCCGUCGCUAAAAGAGAACUGUUCCUAUAUCAAACAAAUUGGAAAAGAAAAAACUUCAAUAAUUUCGCUCUCUUCCUGCUUCGCGUGGUUUAUUCCCAAUAAAAAGGUACUUAUAGGAAACUCUCUCUCCUUUUCUCUAUUUGAUCGAAACGAAAUGAUACCUGGUUUUGAAAGACACGAUUCCUACUAUGCAUUUCGUAUAAUCGGAUCAAGUAAAAGAUCAUAAUAUCCGGUACAUGUAACUGUUCUGAAAUAUUACAUUUGUGGCAAUACAGUAUUUCCGCCAGCGCUCUUCUAUUAUUGAUAUCCUUUGAAAAACCGAUCUUUUUUACGAUUCAUAUAAAGUGGACAAUCAUUAAAAUCGAUCGAGUAGGCAACUUAUAUCUGCCGGUGAUCUCGCCAGGCGUGUUCUAAAUGUGGAUCAACCUAUUUUCUCCUUUCGUUAGACUCGUAGAUUAUUUUCAAUCGGGCCACGGUAAUAAAAGAGGGUCUCUUUUUAGCGAGCACUUAUCGUCGUUUAAUUCAGUACACGUGUGUGCGGUCGAGACGUUUUUAUAAAACUUUCAAUAUAAACACGAACGUUCUCACGAUCUAUUACGUUCAAUACAGGCUUCAUGAACAAAUCAUAAACUAUUCAGAAUCAUGAAUUGAUCGCCUUGCCACGUCAAUUACGACAAUUACGCAACAACAAUCGGAAUCUCGACUGCACAUCCAACCGUCAUCAUGUGCGGAGCCAAACAAUCGAAGGCCGCGGCGGCGGAUCAAACGUGGGCGCACCGCUGAUUUAAUUAAACCGUUAUUUCUAGUGUAAUACGCAGGAGUUGAGGAGGUGAAGGAUGCUGGGGCACCUUCCAGGAGAGAGUCGCAUUGCGAGGCACGCGAGCGUGCACGAUACGAUUUGGUGGUGCAUAACGUAGUCUCACGGUGGAUAACUGUAUCCUCGCGCGCCACGGCCGAGCGCGAACGGCCGUUGUGAAGUCUCGUGUGAAAGGGACGCUGACGAGGUCUAUUGGAAAUCUCCCCGACAAUGGGGAUAACGGGGAUCCAUUUCGCGCGUACACAUACACGACAUACAAGCCGUCAUAACGAUACACCCCGCCGGGAUGCGACCGAGACGGAAGACGCGAGAGGCGCGCGCGCGCGCGCUUUCGUUGAAAAGGGGGUUGCUCCCUCGUCGGAUGGACCGAGAUUGCACCGGCCGAGAGAUUCUAGCAAACCGGACGGUUCCACAACGCCGCCUCCGAGGGAAUAACUGGCGCGGAUAUCCGCGGAUGUCCUCUUUUCUUCGGCGUCAUCGCGACGGAAAUGUAUCACGCGCGCAUCGUUGUUUGAUUGAUCUUUCUGCUGCCGUGUUAUUCCUGCAAAGUGAAAUGUUUGUAGCAUUUGGCGAAAAUAAUACUGCACUCUUUCGUACAGCGAACUGGACUAUUGAUAUUUGGAGGUACUUACUUUGAGAUCUUAAUCAAAAGCGAAGAUGAAGAAAUAUUUCCUGAAGCCUGAAAUUCAAGUUCCCUUUAAUUAACCAGCAUGUGAGAGGGGAAUCUCCGGUUUCAUCGUAUCCUGAAUACACGGCAAGAUAGUCACGCAGUGGAAAUCAUAAUUUCAACGUGCUCAAGCAGUUAGUUCGCACGUGGUCUUGCGGGCGACGGUGCGCAAAACUGAAACUGGAAACACCUCGACGCGCCAUAUAGAGCAAUCAAGGCGGCGGUAGAUUCGUUGUAAAGUUCCCGCUUUUGUAAAUUCAAGGCGGCGAACUUUUCAUCCUUUCAUCCGGAGAGGCUCGCCGUCAAGUGAGACGUCGAGCGUAUUCGAAAUGGAGAGAAACAAGUUUCGCGGAGUAUCUUUUGCUAUUAAAAUCGAUACUCGCUCGCUCGCCCGAAGAGUUAGCAACCAACUCUGAUACAACUGAUAUUCCGCGUCGGAUGGUUAUCAAUUUCGGGCUGAUCGAAACGGCGACGAGGCAACUAUUAUUUUCCGUUAGGACAGAUUGCAGGCUGCUUGCCGUUCUCGAUAUAAAAAUAUCGAAAUGGAAACAGAACUGUCAAACUGGAACGUAAAAACUUUAUGUAAUACAGAAUCUGGCCAUCAAUUAUGGACACGCUGCAUUUUACGCACACGAGAUCGAGUUUUACGAUCACUUUUAUAUCCGUGCAGUCAUAAAAAACUAAUUGUAAACGACGCAUCUGCAUGUGCUAAAAUCGAAUGUUUCAUUAUAUUGAACUCACACUGAAAAGUCUCGUUGUAAAUUCCGAGCGUGCAUAUUUGCAUUAUACAUAUUUAUCGAUUUCCCUUAUCGUCUAUCCAUAUUGACGAUAAGCUCGACAGCAGAGAAACGCUGCGAAAUAUGCCUUUUUAUCAUCCUUUUGCAGUGAGAGGGUAAAUCUUCAUCGCGUUAUCAGCUUUACGCGGCGCGAGCUUCGGCAUAAACUCUCCUCGCGGCACGCCAAUGGAUUUGGACGUCGACUCGAUCUGCACGGAAGACAUUGAAUAUUUCACCGUGUGAGGCCGGGACAGGGAGCAUGAUGCCUAAUAAAUUCAUGUCACAUGACCGCUUCCUUCUGCAACGGGCAACUUUCCGCCGGGUGAAUUUUCAAUAUCUCAGGAAACCAAAAAGAGGACGCCCGCGUAUGAUGGAGACCUCAAACGCGAUUUCAUUCGAAUACAAUAUCCGUGCAGUUUUAUAGUUUUAUCCAUCCCGUCGUGUUCCGCGAAGCUAAACGUUCCUGUUAACCAUCUACGUGACUUCCGAAUGGACGUUUCGACGAUCGAAGCCACCGAAGCUUCACGCAAGGCGGUAACACGAGAGCUUCGACGGAAACCUUCGACGUUUGUUAAUGAUUUUUGUAAUAACAUUCUGCAGCGCCGAUGCAGCCGACUGGAUUUAUGAGCGAGUCUCACGCAGCAUCCGUGCAAUUUUCCUCGGCAGAUUCAACCGUGCAACCGAGCGUAAUGUCUUCCUAGCGCAUCGGAAAAGUAGCUGCUACCAUCAUGUAAUCAGACGCACACGAGGUUCUACGUUGUAACGUUUGGUGCAUGCUAAUGAUCGCGUGCGACCGUGUGUGAGUAGCAACACGAAUCUGUCCUACGUUCCGAUUAAUAUGCACGUCCUGUCCGAACGAUUAUGAACCUUUUUAACUCUCUUAUUCCCGUUGAAGUCCUGUGGUUUAUUGUAUUGGAUUUUUAUAUUUGGUUCGUUUAAAAGAUAUGAUAUCAUGGAACACGUUAUACCCAAGUAACACAGUCUGACUAUAUUUGCUGCAGCAGAAAAAAUAUAGCUAGCAUUACGUCUUGCCUUAAGGGGGGAGCCUGCUUUAGAACGCU